rnacentral:rRNA from 1 species
ACGAACGCUGGCGGCGUGCUUAACACAUGCAAGUCGAACGGAAAGGCCAGUGCUUGCACUGGUGCUCGAGUGGCGAACGGGUGAGUAACACGUGGGUGAUCUGCCUUGCACUCUGGGAUAAGCUUGGGAAACUGGGUCUAAUACCGGAUAUGAACUGCCUUUAUGUGGUGGUUGGAAAGUUUUUUCGGUGCAAGAUGAGCUCGCGGCCUAUCAGCUUGUUGGUGGGGUAAUGGCCUACCAAGACGUCGACGGGUAGCCGGCCUGAGAGGGUGUACGGCCACAUUGGGACUGAGAUACGGCCCAGACUCCUACGGGAGGCAGCAGUGGGGAAUAUUGCACAAUGGGCGGAAGCCUGAUGCAGCGACGCCGCGUGGGGGAUGACGGCCUUCGGGUUGUAAACUCCUUUCGACAGGGACGAAGCGCAAGUGACGGUACCUGUAUAAGAAGCACCGGCUAACUACGUGCCAGCAGCCGCGGUAAUACGUAGGGUGCGAGCGUUGUCCGGAAUUACUGGGCGUAAAGAGCUCGUAGGUGGUUUGUCGCGUCGUCUGUGAAAUUCCGGGGCUUAACUUCGGGCGUGCAGGCGAUACGGGCAUAACUUGAGUGCUGUAGGGGAGACUGGAAUUCCUGGUGUACGGUGAAAUGCGCAGAUAUCGGGAGGAACACCGAUGGCGAAGGCAGGUCUCUGGGCAGUUUACUGACCGCUGGAGGAGCGAAAGGCAUGGGUAGCAAACAGG